rnacentral:rRNA from 1 species
UACGUAGGGACCGAGCGUUGUCCGGAUUCAUUGGGCGUAAAGAGCUCGUAGGCGGCUGUUCAAGUCGAACGUGAAAACUCGGAGCUCAACUCCGAGCCUGCGUUCGAUACUGGACGGCUAGAGUCUGGUAGGGGGAUCUGGAAUUCCUGGUGUAGCGGUGGAAUGCGCAGAUAUCAGGAGGAACACCGGUGGCGAAGGCGGGAUCCUGGGCCAGUACUGACGCUGAGGCGCGAAAGCUAGGGGAGCAAACGGG